UGCUAGAUUGAUGGCGAGUGGCGAACGGGUGAGUAAUACAUCGGAACGUGCCCUGUAGUGGGGGAUAACUAGUCGAAAGAUUAGCUAAUACCGCAUACGAUCUACGGAUGAAAGCAGGGGAUCGCAAGACCUUGCGCGAAUGGAGCGGCCGAUGGCAGAUUAGGUAGUUGGUGAGGUAAAGGCCUACCAAGGCGACGAUCCGUAACUGGUCUGAGAGGAUGAUCAGUCACACUGGAACUGAGACACGGUCCAGACUCC
rnacentral:rRNA from 1 species